GUUUCACCGUGUUAGCCAGGAUGGUCUCGAUCUCCUGACCUCGUGAUCCGCCCGCCUCGGCCUCCCAGAGCGCUGGGAAUUCAGAUAACCAUCUCUUAGAGAAGGCUGAGCUGCUGGACAAGUUCUCAAAGAAGCUGCAGCCGGAGCCAAACAGUGUCACUCCCACCACCCACCAGGGCCCCUGGGAGGAGUCAGAGCUUGACUCAGACCAAGUCCCAUCACUGGUCGCACUGAGGGUGAAGUGGCAGGAGGAGGAGGAGGGGCUCCGGCUGGUCUGUGGUGAGAUUCACAGGAAGUUGGAAGGAUAGUCCAGAGUUCCUGCAUCCCCUUCCCCCAGCAUCUCCUGCUGGCUACAUCUUACAUAACUAUAGUACCCACAACCAGGAAACUGGGAUUGGUAUGAAGUGUGUAUAUGUCCUUUGUCAUUUUAUCACGUGUAGAUUUGUGUAACCAUCAAGAUAUGGCACUGUUUCACCACUGCAAAGAUCUCUUUCUUAUUACCCCUUUUUAGUCACAUUCACCCCUCUCCCCCCAACCAUCCCUAACCCCUGGCAAGUACUAAUCUGUUUUCCACUUCUACUACUUGAAUUUUGAAAGGCAUACAAUAAAAUAUUGAAUGGUACAACACAACAUAAAUGAAAGCAAGUGACAAGUGAGAAAGUGGAGGUGGUGAUCAGAUUGCUCAGUGGUGAAAAGAAUUAUGUUAUAAAUGGGGCCAACUAUGAAUAAAGGUGCCCCAACCCGCAUGUGCAGAUUCCUUCUUCGCAGACUCACUCACAUAGCGCGUCAUGUCAGUGCAGGUGGCAGCGCCAACCGUGCUCCUCAGUCUGUCCUCACCAGGCCCACGUGAGAACACAGGAACAG
rnacentral:lncRNA from 1 species